rnacentral:rRNA from 1 species
UUUUGCCUACGGGAGGCAGCAGUGGGGAAUAUUGCACAAUGGGGGAAACCCUGAUGCAGCGACGCCGCGUGAGUGAAGAAGUAUUUCGGUAUGUAAAGCUCUAUCAGCAGGGAAGAGAAUGACGGUACCUGAGUAAGAAGCCCCGGCUAACUACGUGCCAGCAGCCGCGGUAAUACGUAGGGGGCAAGCGUUAUCCGGAUUUACUGGGUGUAAAGGGAGCGUAGACGGCGAAGAAAGUCUGAAGUGAAAGCCCGCGGCUCAACCGCGGAACUGCUUUGGAAACUUUUUUGCU